rnacentral:lncRNA from 1 species
UUACGGACGGUCAGUCUUUAUCAAUGACAAACUCUUUAAUAUCAGAUUGCCUGAUCCCUACUGGGUGCAAUUAGUGGCUGUCAAAAUCAUGUUUAUCCGCCAUUCUCUCAGUCGAUUUCCGUAUUCUACAUUGUUUAUUACCCUUCCGGAGAACCUGAGAUCACCUUCAGAUUUUGGUGGGGUUCAUGUUGCUCAUCUUUAGUUUUCUAUGUUGUAUUUUGUGCACUGUUCUUUUGUCUCUUUCUGUUUUAGUCAUAGCGUUGUCAGUUUUUCGAUCUAUGAAUUUGACUGUCCCGUUGGUAUCUUUCAACUGCACAUUCACCAGUCAACAUACAACCAUUUUUAGUCUUGUAUUAUUUUAAUUUUAGUUUCUUGUGUACAAUUUGGAAAUUAGUAUGGCGUUCAUUAUCACUGAACUAGUAUAUAUUUGUUUAGGGGCCAGCUGAAGGACGCCUCCGGGUGCUGGAAUUUCUCGCUACAUUGAAGACCUGUUGGUGACCUUCUGCUGUUGUUUUUUUCUAUGGUCGGGUUGUUGUCUCUUAGGCACAUUCCCCAUUUCCAUUCUCAAUUUUAUUACCAUUUGACUUUUAACCAAAAUUAUUAUAGAGUCGAAAUUUUUAUCAGUCAUACAUCAAGCACACUUAUGUGUUGUUUAUUUC